rnacentral:rRNA from 1 species
GACGAACGCUGGCGGCGUGCUUAACACAUGCAAGUCGAACGGGAUUUAGUAGACAGACGCCUCGGCUAAAGAUUACUAAUGAGAGUGGCGAACGGGUGAGUAACGCGUGAGCAACCUGCCUAUGACAGUGGGAUAGCCUCGGGAAACCGGGAUUAAUACCGCAUAAAAUCGUAGAAACACAUGUUUUAACGGUCAAAGAUUUAUCGGUCAUAGAUGGGCUCGCGUCUGAUUAGCUAGUUGGUGAGAUAACAGCCCACCAAGGCGACGAUCAGUAGCCGGUCUGAGAGGAUGAACGGCCACAUUGGAACUGAGACACGGUCCAAACUCCUACGGGAGGCAGCAGUGGGGAAUAUUGCACAAUGGGGGAAACCCUGAUGCAGCGACGCCGCGUGAACGAAGAAGGUAUUCGUAUCGUAAAGUUCUGCCCUAUGGGAAGAUAAUGACAGUACCAUAGAAGAAAGCUCCGGCUAAAUACGUG